UACGAAGGGUGCAAGCGUUACUCGGAAUUACUGGGCGUAAAGCGUGCGUAGGUGGUUUGUUAAGUCUGCUGUGAAAGCCCCGGGCUCAACCUGGGAAUGGCAGUGGAUACUGGCAAGCUAGAGUGCGGUAGAGGGUAGUGGAAUUCCCGGUGUAGCGGUGAAAUGCGCAGAUAUCGGGAGGAACACCAGUAGCGAAGGCGGCACUCUGGGCCGUGACUGACGCUGAGGAGCGAAAGCGUGGGUAGCAAACAGG
rnacentral:rRNA from 1 species